UACGAAGGGGGCGAGCGUUAUUCGGAAUCACUGGGCGUAAAGCGUGCGUAGGCGGUUUUGUAAGUUGGAAGUGAAAGCCCAGGGCUCAACCCUGGAAUUGCUUUCAAAACUACAAGACUUGAAUUCGGGAGAGGAUAGCGGAAUUGUCAGUGUAGCAGUGAAAUGCGUAGAUAUUGACAGGAACACCAGUGGCGUAAGCGGCUAUCUGGACCGACAUUGACGCUGAGGCACGAAAGCGUGGGGAUCAAACAGG
rnacentral:rRNA from 1 species